rnacentral:rRNA from 1 species
CCGUUGUACACACCGCCCGUCACACCAUGGAGUUGGUUUACCCGAAGGUGCUGUGCUAACCGCAAGGAGGCAGGCAACCACGGUAGGGUACAGCGACUGGGGUG